CUUCGGACAAUAUACAAGGUGCUGCAGUGGUUGUCGUCAGCUCGUGUCGUGAGAUGUUGGGUUAAGUCCCGUAACGAGCGCAACCCUUGUCCUUAGUUACCAGCACGUUAUGGUGGGCACUCUAAGGAGACUGCCGGUGACAAACCGGAGGAAGGUGGGGAUGACGUCAAGUCAUCAUGGCCCUUACGGCCUGGGCUACACACGUGCUACAAUGGUCGGUACAAAGGGUUGCCAAGCCGCGAGGUAGAGCUAAUCCCAUAAAACCGAUCGUAGUCCGGAUCGCAGUCUGCAACUCGACUGCGUGAAGUCGGAAUCGCUAGUAAUCGUGAAUCAGAAUGUCACGGUGAAUACGUUCCCGGGCCUU
rnacentral:rRNA from 1 species